ACUUCCUUUCCGUAUCAACAGGAGGCCAGGGACUGGCUGGACCCCUAGGAGCCAGGUCCUACGGAUAGGUGAGCCGGCCCCCCAGGGCAAACACCUCCACUGGGCAGACCUGACUGCCCAGAGCUGGAUUCUUUACUUGUAAAAGGGGCCAUGAGUGACACAGGCUCGGCCUGCUGUGCCUUGAGGAAAGGAGAGGCUAAAAAUUCUGCCUUCUCUCCUAAAGCCAGCCGGGCUCUUUAUGGUGGGGGAAGGAAGGAUUUGUUUAUUUGCACUCUUCUGAAAUAAAAGUUCUCUAUCCUCCCUCCUGGCUGGAGUUGGGAGGGCCCCAUGGGUGGGCUCUGAGAUGUGGCACACGGUACCCAGGGCAGGGCUGGGAAGGGUGGGGUGCAGGGGCCUCCCUGGCUGCAGGGCCCACCCACCAGGUGCCUGGGCUUGCUGCACUGAGCAGGCAUGGGCUCUGGCCCCCCUCACUGUCCCUUCCAGGCCCAGCCUGUGUUCAGGGCCCAGGACAGGGUCUGGCCAGCAGGCCCCAGGCCUCCAAGAUGUUCUCAGCCUCUGGAGUGUGUGUGAUGAUGAGCACUCAUGGAGCUUCCUGUAUGCUGGGCCCUGGGCUUCUGAGAGGGCCACCGGGUGGCGACUGAGUCACGAGGUGGAGGGCCAGUCCCAGGGACUCCAGGUGACCUCGUGUCGGCACCACGCCCUUCUCCCAUGGGCAGUCCUGGGCGCCCCUUCCUGGCCUUGGGCCCAGUGGCCUGUGGCCUGACCCCGUCCACUCCUGCUUGGUUGUCCCAGCAGCAGCAGGAGCCCAUGCUGGAGAAGGUGUUAUGGGGCAGGUGGAGGGCCCGGCUGACUCAGAUGAUCCCCCAAGUUUCUUUUCAAUGAACACUUGUUUAGUGCAGUUUUUCCUCCUCAAAUCCCCCUCACACAGGCAGACACCCUCUUGGCCCAGGGUAAUCUGCUGAGCCUUUGCUCAAAUAUAGCAGCUUUGCUGCUUUCUAAACACAACUAAUCCAAUUUGGGAUUUGGGGAUUCGAGGUGGGCAGCACUGGGCCUCAGAUGAGCCCCCAUCACCCCAGACCCAUGCAGGAAGAGCCAGGCAGGGUGGGGCCCUGGGGCCACCUGGUGGGCUCAGGGCCAGGGCAUCGCGAUGUCCCCAUCCUUCACACUACGGGGCUUCCUGGCUGCAGAGUUGGGGACUCAGCUGGGAAUGCUGGCCAUAGAGGCAGAGAGCCCCCAUCCUGCUGGGCCAGCCCUGACCUGGCUUCUCCAGGGUGGCCCAGUGUCCCCUUCUGCCCUUCCCCUGGCUCCCACCGUCCACAUCCCUCUAUCUGCCCACCCUGGACAACAACCAGCACAGUGCAGUGUGGCCCUGCAGUGACACCACCUGCAGAGAGGUCAGGCCCAGCCUCCCCCGUCUCCUAAAAGGCCAGCAGGUCCCAGGAGCUGGGGGUGGGGCCUGGCUGUGGGGCCUCCAUGCCCCAGGGGCCAGGGCAGACCCUCCUUAGCCGGCAACCACUGCAGAUUCCUCCCCUGGCCAGCACUCGGGGACCUCCCUGCCCCUGCCCCGUCCCCCUACCUUGCCUGCUGAGACAUAGGGCUCCACGGGUCUCUCUCCUGGGGCCGGGCUGACUGUGGCCUGCGAGGGGCAGUCAUCGUGUUGGGUUUUCCUGCCAGAGGCAGAAACCACAAAAUUACCUGGAACAUACACGCCCCAAGUGACAGAUUCAAUUCAAUUCCACAAAUAUUGACCUCGCGUCUAAUCCACUCGUCCUCCAGUGCCAGCUCAUUCCUGAGAAGCCCAGCCUGGCAGCCGCAGAUCCCAUUUAAUCCCAGCCCCACAAUGUCACCAGCUCGCAGCUUGGGAGCUGGGCUCAUCCAGGCCCUGGCAGGUGGGGCCAGAGCUGGGCUCUGACCUCUGUACCCACACUUACCACCAUGUAAAGUGCUGGGAAGAGGGGUGGGGAGUCACGGCAAGUUGAGGGUCCAGGCUUGCCCCAGCUCGCCAGAUGCUCGCCCUGGCUGCCCUGACCUAGCAGCUAAUCUCUGCGGGGCACUGCGGCUACAUGGUGACUCCAGCACGGGGACAUUUAUCAGAAAUGGAACUGAUGGAUUAAAGUGGAACCAAGCG
rnacentral:lncRNA from 1 species